UUCCCUCCGAAGUUUCCUUCAGGAUAGCUAGAGCCCAUUACGAGUUAUAUCAGGUAAAGGCAAUGAUUAGAGGCAUUGGGGACGCAACGUCCUCGACCUGUUCUCAAACUUUAAAUAGGUAGGAUGGCUCGGCUGCUUCGGUGAGCCGUGCCACGGAAUCGGGUGCUCCAAGUGGGCCAUUUUUGGUAAGCAGAACUGGCGAUGCGGGAUGAACCGGAAGCCGGGUUACGGUGCCCAACUGCGCGCUAACCUAGAACCCACAAAGGGUGUUGGUCGAUUAACACAGGAGGACGGUGGUCAUGGAAGUCGAAAUCCUCUAAGGAGUGUGUAACAACNNNNNNNNNNUGACGGUGGUCAUGGAAGUCGAAAUCCGCUAAGGAGUGUGUAUCAACUCACCUGCCGAAUCAACUAGCCCCAAAAAUGGAUGGCGCUGAAGCGUACGACCCACACCCAGCCAUCUGGGCGAGCGCCAUGCCCCGAUGAGUAGGAGGGCGCCGCGGCCGCUGCAAAACCUGGGGCGCGAGCCCGGGCGGAGAGGCCGUCGGUG
rnacentral:rRNA from 16 species